UGUGUAGGUGGCGCGCUAAGUCGGGUGUGAAAUUUCGGAGCUUAACUCCGAAACUGCAUUCGAUACUGGCGUGCUUGAGGACUGGAGAGGAGACUGGAAUUUACGGUGUAGCAGUGAAAUGCGUAGAUGUCGUAAGGAAGACCAGUGGCGAAGGCGGGUCUCUGGACAGUUCCUGACACUGAGACACGAAGGCCAGGGAGCAAACG
rnacentral:rRNA from 1 species